UUAUUCCUCGUUCGUUUUUUGGUUUACUAUUUCAUUUAUCACGAAUAGUGCUACAACUAAUAUGUAAACUUUUACGUUUAAUACUGAUGAAUCAUGUGAGAUGUCGAUUGAAAUCUUUAAAAGAUAUUCUUACGUAUAACUAACUCUCAACUUCUUUUAUAGCCACGGUUGUAAUAUUUCUAUUACAUAGGAUUCAUCUGCAUUAGGACAGUUAAUUUCAAACAAAUGGAUACUUCUGUAGUUUUCUGAAAUGUCUUCUCGAAUUUUUUACCUCUCAUUUAAAUGAAUUAUAAGAAGCUAAAGAACAAUAUAAAUUUUUUGUGUAAUUGGCAAUACUACAUUACAGUUAAGCCCCAAGAAGCGAGUAGAGGCACAU